GAAGCCCGCCCCCACGUUUCCGGGAGCCCGGCGGACGCUGGGUCUGCAGAUGCCAUCCAGGCGCACGGCGGGUAUAGUGGUUCCGCAACCUUGGGAUGUUCGGCUGAGCGCCUGCCUAACAUGGGAGCGCCUGCCUAACCCUCCUGACUGGAGGGUCAGCGGCGGGGAGUCCUGGCCUUCAAUCGGCCAUCGCCACGGCAGAAACUGGGGCCCGGGCUGCGUCCAGGCCCUUCCCCGUCCGUCCACAGGUCUCAUGGGCGCCCGGACUGGGGCUGAUGUAGUUUCCCGACCUCUGACACAUAGGAUCUGGAGAUUAAAGCUGCUCUGCUAAUAAUUAGGUUCCCACCUCUCAAGAUCAUUAGGAGCUUCUUUUCCAAUUCCUCUGUUUUGCAUGCAUUGGAAGGCCCCUGGAUCCUCCUGGAAUCCCUGAUCCCUGUUGCUCCCUGGCGGAGUUUUCUAGUCCCUCUUACUUGAAGCAUGUCUUUCAGAGCCCGGCACCACCCAAGUUGGGUAUCUGAUACCCCAUCAGCCUGAGUCUCUUAAAGGCCUUUAUACACAUAUGUCUACACAUAGGGAUUUGGAUGAUCUCGGGAUCCCACAUCCUCGCUGUCCCCUGUCCCCCCACAACAUCCCACACCAAUACCUUUCUGAAGUUUUCUAGUCCCUCCUUUUUGUUUGUGGUCCUUAAAGCCCAGCCCCAUGCCUGACUUUGGUUCCCAGUGAGCAUUGUACAUUUGUGGAUAUUAAAUCUUUGGCAAAGUCAUUUACCUGGGCUGGAAUAGGGCUCUUGGCUGAUUCUUUUUCCUAAACACCCACCCAAUGGGAGAGGCUGAUACUCAACAUGCAAACCUUGUGUUUUAUUUCUCCAGGCGAAGGGAUGUUGGAAGACAUUCUGGAAGGGGUGGGGUGUGAAGAUUUACAAAUAAUCUUUGAAUAUCUGCUUCAUGAUAGGUCUUGGAGGUGCCUUGUGGGUGUGGCUUUGGGGGGAUGGUUACGAGGAAAUUGUGGAUAUUAAGGAAGUCAGGAAAGGAAAAGAUCAGUCACAAUUCAACAAUUCAGAGAAAGCUCCUAAGGGACUUUCUGGCUGCUUGAUGCCCAGAGGCCAGGCCCUCACUUCGUAUUAAGGCUCAGGACUGUGGAUAGAGAAUUUAAAGGGGCACCAAAAAAACAUUAAAAUAGAUAAACAUAUUUUUAAUGGAAUACCUUUAAAAAUGCAAAUCAAUGCACAAAGAAAACGCCCA
rnacentral:lncRNA from 1 species